GUAGCUUAAUGGUAAUAGCACCCAACCGGUAUUUGGGGGAUCUGGGUUCAAGUCCCGGC
rnacentral:tRNA from 1 species